GAUGAAGAACGCAGCGAAAUGCGAUACGUAAUGUGAAUUGCAGAAUUCAGUGAAUCAUCGAAUCUUUGAACGCAUAUUGCGCUCUCUGGUAUUCCGGAGAGCAUGCUUGUUUGAGUAUCAGUAAACACCUCAACUUCCAUAUCUUUUUUUGAAAUGGGAGUUGGACUUGAGUGAUCCCAACGCUUUUCCUCACCGAAAAGUGGCGGGUUACUUGAAAUGCAGGUGCAGCUGGACUUUUCUCUGAGCUAUAAGCAUAUCUAUUUAGUCUGCCUAAAAAACAGAUUAUUACCUUUGCUGCAGCUAACAUAAAGGAGAUUAGUUCUUGUGCUGACUGAUGCAGGAUUCACAAAGACAGCUUCGGCCGACUUUGUAAACUCGAUCUCAAAUCAAGUAAGACUACCCGCUGAACUUAAGCAUAUCAAAAGCGGAGGA
rnacentral:misc_RNA from 1 species